GACCCGGGCAACAUCGUCAAACUGCGGGAAAGCCCUGCCACGACUACCGGGACCUCACCGCCCCAGCAAUGGGAGCGGGUGCCCGCAGCUAAAAGCUGCAGGUACGGUAAAGCACCGAAGUCUAGGGGCGAUCCGCCGCCAAACCCUCCCCGUACCGGGAGGGCCCAGCUCACAGGCCAGACGGCGAUGGGCGCAGUCGCGCUUAAGAUAUGGUCGAGUGACCCGUCGAGAGGCGGGUGCAACUCAGGAACGUCCGUAGGUGAACCUGCGGAAGGAUCAUU
rnacentral:rRNA from 1 species